rnacentral:tRNA from 1 species
GGUGGAGACGGGCUCGGAGCCCAACCCGACUGUAAACCGGGCGUCCCCGCGACACCGGUGGUUCGACUCCACCCUCCACCA